AUUGAACGCUGGCGGCAUGCCUAACACAUGCAAGUCGAACGGUAACAGGCAAAGCUUGCUUUGCGCUGACGAGUGGCGGACGGGUGAGUAACGCGUAGGAAUCUGCCUUAAAGUGGGGGACAACCCGGGGAACUCGGGCUAAUACCGCAUGUGCCCUUCGGGUAAAGCUGGGGAUCUUCGGACCUGGCGCUUUAAGAGGAGCCUGCGUUGGAUUAGCUAGUUGGUAGGGUAAAGGCCUACCAAGGCGACGAUCCAUAGCUGGUCUGAGAGGAUGAUCAGCCACACUGGAACUGAGACACGGUCCAGACUCCUACGGGAGGCAGCAGUGGGGAAUAUUGGACAAUGGGCGAAAGCCUGAUCCAGCAAUGCCGCGUGUGUGAAGAAGGCCUUAGGGUUGUAAAGCACUUUCAGUCGGGAGGAAAACCUGAUGUUAAUAGCUUCAGGCUUGACGCUACCGACAGAAGAAGCACCGGCUAACUCUGUGCCAGCAGCCGCGGUAAUC
rnacentral:rRNA from 1 species